rnacentral:rRNA from 1 species
GACGAACGCUGGCGGCGUGCUUAACACAUGCCAGUCGAACGGAAAGGCCCUGCUUUUGUGGGGUGCUCGAGUGGCGAACGGGUGAGUAACACGUGAGUAACCUGCCCUUGACUUUGGGAUAACUUCAGGAAACUGGGGCUAAUACCGGAUAGGAGCUCCUGCUGCAUGGUGGGGGUUGGAAAGUUUCGGCGGUUGGGGAUGGACUCGCGGCUUAUCAGCUUGUUGGUGGGGUAGUGGCUUACCAAGGCUUCGACGGGUAGCCGGCCUGAGAGGGUGAACGGCCACAUUGGGACUGAGAUACGGCCCAGACUCCUACGGGAGGCAGCAGUGGGGAAUAUUGCACAAUGGGCGGAAGCCUGAUGCAGCAACGCCGCGUGCGGGAUGACGGCCUUCGGGUUGUAAACCGCUUUCGCCUGUGACGAAGCGUGAGUGACGGUAAUGGGUAAAGAAGCACCGGCUAACUACGUG